CAUCAAAGCAAUUGGGAAACUCAUCAAAUAAAAAGAAAUGCCGAGACAAGCUUGUCAAUUAAUGGCGGGCCCCACGUCGCAAGACGUUGACCAUACGGUCACAGGCGGAUUACAAAGAUUGACCGGCCCUCAAAUCCUGUCGUUCGGAGUUUCGUCACAUA
rnacentral:sRNA from 1 species